AAUUAAAAUAAAAAGGUUUUGUAGAAAAGAAGAAGCGUGUUAUGGGAAUGCGACACUGGUACUCUUCAGUUCUGAAAUCAAUGGGUUCUUGCUUUUAUGCCAGCUCAUCACAUAGUAAAGGUGAAGAUGUGAAGAAGCCUUCAAAAACUAAUUAUUGUGAACCAGAUGCAACAAUGGUUGCUGCAGCUAAACAUUUCUCUGCCAAAGUGCGCCUUAUUUGAUUCUACUACUCAUUUUUUCAGGUUGUUAACAACAUAAUAUAUAUAUAUACAUAUAUAUACAUGAUGAUUAUUAUUAUUAUUUUUAUUUUUUUGAGUUUAGGAUAUAUUAAAUCACUAAAUCCAACACUUAAUUUUCCGUUCGAGAAACGAAAUAAGAUUUCAAUUAUAACGACAUAGCUCGAUCUUUCGAUUUUUGUUUCAGGUGUCGAACCAAAAUAUCGAAAAAUCCGGCAUUAUAAUCGAAGUGGUGAUUAUUCAGGGACCUUCACAUAAUAUAUGUAAAUAUUUUGUACAUAUGUUCAUUUUAUGCAAUUGCCAAUGUAAUUGGACAGGAU
rnacentral:lncRNA from 1 species